AUGAGCACUGGGCGUUAUACUAUAUAUUGGCAAAUUGAACUUAAAUUAAAAAAAUUUUUUUUAAAACAAAACAAUAAAAACCAUCAGGAAUCCCAGCUACAGCCUCCACUUCCCCCAGUCAAGCGCCCGGCUCUCCGGGGAGGGCCCGGAGCAGCGCUUCUUGGAGGGUGUCUAGGGCCAUCUCUGCUCUGGUUGGCUGACUUCCCCAGCAAUCUUAUCCAAUCAGAGAGCAGAGCUGCCUCUGGCUAUUUACAUAUGCUCUGUAACCCAAUCACAUGCUGGGUUUCCCCAAGUCCUCGUUUGCAUACAGGCCGUAUAAAUAGAACCACGGGGGGCCGGCCCACCGCAGGACCUGCUCUGUCAGCUCAGCGAGUGUGUCUGCGCGGGAGAAGCUUGGCGGUGGGAAGGGUGGGCAUCCCAGGGGGCUUUGCUUCUUUCCACGGUGGGCUCACACGAGUUAGCAGGACUCAUACCAGCGUGUGAACAUUUCCAGAUGGCUUGACCACUCGGAGCGUGAUAGAGCUGGAAGGUAUGUUUGCUUUGGGAAAUGGCCCAAUGAAGCAGGGGUGUGUUGGGGAGCCCCAACACUGAAAGAAAGGCAUGUCAUGUCUGAGUUUUCCCGGGGUGGGAAUACUUGCCUGCCAGAAUGAACGAACACAACAGUCAUGGGGGAUGCAUGGGAUGUUGGUGUGAGACCACAUUACGGUUGCACACAGAUGCAGAAUGUGUUCACAGCAGAAUUCGUCUGCUCCCUGUGGAAAGAAAUGAGAGGACUCGUGGGAUGUAUGCCACACACGUCUAUGGCUGUGGCUCUGGUGAUGACCCUACAAUGAUGAGGGUCUUGCUAAAUUAGGUGGUCUCAAGUCUUUGUGGUUCACACUCAAAACAAACAAAAACACAGUUGACCCCAGGACAAUGCAGGGUUAGGGUGUUGAUCCCCUGAGCCGUUCACAAUCCGUGUAUGACUUGAUUCCUCCAAGACUUACUCACUAAGAGCCUACCGUUAACAGGAAGCCUUACCGAAAACAUCAACAAUUGAUUAACAGGUAUUUUGUACAUUAUAUGUAUUAUAUACAGGAU
rnacentral:lncRNA from 12 species